rnacentral:rRNA from 1 species
AAAGGGUGUGUAGGCGGGUAUUUAAGUCAGUGGUGAAAUCUCCGAGCUCAACUCGGAAACUGCCAUUGAUACUAUUUAUCUUGAAUAUUGUUGAGGUAGGCGGAAUAUGUCAUGUAGCGGUGAAAUGCUUAGAUAUGACAUAGAACACCGAUUGCGAAGGCAGCUUGCUAAACAAUUAUUGACGCUGAGGCACGAAAGCGUGGGGAUCAAACAGGAUUAGAUACCCGGGU